rnacentral:rRNA from 1 species
AAUGCGAUAAGUAAUGUGAAUUGCAGAUUUUCAGUGAAUCAUCGAAUCUUUGAACGCACCUUGCGCUCCUUGGUAUUCCGAGGAGCAUGCCUGUUUGAGUGUCAUCU